rnacentral:rRNA from 1 species
GCGGCAACAGCUCAAAUUUGAAAUCUGGCGCAAGCCCGAGUUGUAAUUUGCAGAGGAUGCUUUUGGUGCGGUGCCUUCUGAGUUCCCUGGAACGGGACGCCGGAGAGGGUGAGAGCCCCGUACAGUUGGACACCAAGCCUUUGUAAAGCUCCUUCGACGAGUCGAGUAGUUUGGGAAUGCUGCUCAAAAUGGGAGGUAAAUGCCUUCUAAAGCUAAAUACCGGCCAGAGACCGAUAGCGCACAAGUAGAGUGAUCGAAAGAUGAAAAGCACUUUGAAAAGAGGGUUAAAAAGUACGUGAAAUUGUUGAAAGGGAAGCGCUCGUGACCAGACUUGCGCCCGGCGGAUCAUCCGGCCUUCUGGCCGGUGCACUCCGCCGGGCUCAGGCCAGCAUCGGUUCUUCCGGGGGGACAAAAGCGGUGGGAACGUAGCUCCUCCGGGAGUGUUAUAGCCCGCCGCAGAAUACCCCCGGGGGGACCGAGGACC